GCCGGAAGUCCAGGGCGCCCAGGGAGCGGGCGGUGCCUGAGUCCGGGGCUCUCCCGGGGGACAGCGGCCCUUCUUACCGGAGAGGUCGCGAACUCCUAAAGGCUUUGCGCUCGGAAGACGCCGGGACGGAGGUGUCCUGCCUUCUCUGUGCAUCUUGUCCUAGGCAGAGCUGCCUGGCAUCGGAGCCCCCUGAGGAUCCCCACUCCCCUGCAGCUCAUCAUGUCUGAGGGGAGUCUCCUUCCAUGAGGAAAGGGAUUGGAGGCCUGGCCCAGAGUCCUGACCCCCCCCCCCCCCAGCACCUGCCUCAACCACAUGCCUACCCUGUCCCCCAUCCCAGGAAAGACUGAGGCCUAGAGGAAGCAAGCAGCUGGGCAUUGGUUCAGUCUUCUGACUGCAGAGGAAGCGGGACCCCACCCCCCCCCAGCACCUCAGACCAGGGGCCACAUUAGCCGUCCGCACUGAGGACCUGCAGGAGGACGGACCCUCAGAGCAG